CGAGGUCAAGCGAAUCUUUAAAAACCAUCCUCAGUUCGGAUUGUAGGCUGCAACUCGCCUACAUGAAGCUGGAAUCGCUAGUAAUCGCGGAUCAGCACGCCGCGGUGAAUACGUUCCCGGGCCUUGUACACACCGCCCGUCACACCAUGAGAGUUUGUAACACCCAAAGCCGGUAGGACAACCGCAAGGAGUCAGCCGUCUAAGGUGGGACAAAUGAUUAGGGUGAAGUCGUAACAAGGUAGCCGUAGGAGAACCUGCGGCUGGAUCACCUCCUUUCUAA
rnacentral:rRNA from 1 species